GUGAGGAAUAUUGCUCAAUGGCCGAAAGGCUGAAGCAGCGACGCCGCGUGGAGGAUGAAGUCCGUUAGGAUGUAAACUCCUUUUGUAGGGGAUGAAUGUCCCGCCUUUGGCGGGAUUGACCGUACCCUGCGAAUAAGGAUCGGCCAACUACGUGCCAGCAGCCGCGGUAAUACGUAGGAUCCGAGCGUUGUCCGGAAUUACUGGGUGUAAAGGGCGUGUAGGUGGGUCUUUAAGUCGGUGGUGAAAUCCUGCAGCUUAACUGUAGAACUGCCUCCGAUACUGAAGGUCUUGAGUGCGGCAGAGGGAGAUGGAAUUCAUGGUGUAGCGGUGAAAUGUGUAGAUAUCAUGAAGAACACCGGUUGCGAAGGCGGUCUCCUGGUCCGUAACUGACACUGAGGCGCGAAAGCGUGGGGAGCAAACAGGAUUAGAUACCCCUGUAGUCC
rnacentral:rRNA from 1 species